AUGGGAAGACCUUGUGGCGCUUUAAUUCAUUAGCAAAUAAAAACUCAAACAAGCUUACAGGCUCUAGCCUACUAUCCCUGCAUUAAAAAUUUUGGUUUGGGUGACCUUGGAACAUAAUUCAACCUCCAAACAACCUGAACUAAGACCACACUAGUCUAAGAGAGUUAACACACAUUGACCCAGUAAUUUGAUCAAUGGAGUAAGUUAUCCUGGGGAUAACAGCACAAUCCUAUUCUAGAGUUCAUAUCAACAAUAGGGUUUAUGAUCCAAUGUUGGAGCAGGACAUCCUAAUGGUGUAGCCACUAUUAAGAGUUUGUUUGUCCAACAAUUAAGGUCCUAUGUGAUCUGAGUUUAGACUAGAGUAAUCCAGAUCGGUUUCUAU
rnacentral:ncRNA from 1 species